rnacentral:rRNA from 1 species
UGAGGAAUAUUGGUCAAUGGGCGAGAGCCUGAACCAGCCAAGUAGCGUGCAGGAAGACGGCCCUAUGGGUGGUAAACUGCUUUUAUGUGGGGAUAAAGUGCGUGACGUGUCAUGCAUUGCAGGUACCACAUGAAUAAGGACCGGCUAAUUCCGUGCCAGCAGCCGCGGUAAUACGGAAGGUCCGGGCGUUAUCCGGAUUUAUUGGGUUUAAAGGGAGCGUAGGCUGUCUAUUAAGCGUGUUGUGAAAUAUACCGGCUCAACCGGUGGCUUGCAGCGCGAACUGGUCGACUUGAGUAUGCAGGAAGUAGGCGGAAUUCAUGGUGUAGCGGUGAAAUGCUUAGAUAUCAUGACGAACUCCGAUUGCGCAGGCAGCUUACUGUAGCAUAACUGACGCUGAUGCUCGAAAGUGCGGGUAUCAAACAGG